rnacentral:rRNA from 1 species
AUUGAACGCUGGCGGAAUGCUUUACACAUGCAAGUCGAACGGUAGAGGGGGCAACCCCUCGAGAGUGGCGAACGGGUGAGUAAUAUAUCGGAACGUGCCCAGUCGUGGGGGAUAACGUAGCGAAAGUCACGCUAAUACCGCAUACGAUCUAAGGAUGAAAGCGGGGGAUCGCAAGACCUCGCGCGAUUGGAGCGGCCGAUAUCAGAUUAGGUAGUUGGUGGGGUAAAGGCUCAACAAGCCAACGAUCUGUAGAUGGUCUGAGAGGACGACCCGCCACACUGGAACUGAGACACGGUCCAGACUCCUACGGGAGGCAGCAGUGGGGAAUUUUGGACAAUGGACGCAAGUCUGAUCCAGCCAUUCCGCGUGCAGGAUGAAGGCCCUCGGGUUGUAAACUGCUUUUGUACGGAACGAAAAGGUCUCUCUUAAUACGGGGGACUCAUGACGGUACCGUAAGAAUAAGCACCGGCUAACUACGUGCCAGCCGCCGCCGUAACAC